UAAUCGGGAAAAAUACCCAAUUGUGAUGUUUAUGGGACAUAUAGGAGUGCCAACAGAGAAGCUCGUCAAAGGUAAUUAAUGUUUUAUAAUUUAUUUCUGCCUUUUGUGUAGCGCCGGCUACCGCAAAAUCUGUUGUUUAGGUGACUUCUGGUAUUUUGUGGGGUGCAUGCUAUCAGAUAAUAGCUUCUCAUGCUUUCGCCGAAAAGCAUUUUACAAAUCUGACUUGGUGGCUAGAUUCACAACGAGUGUAGCUUUAAUUCAGUACCUUGCAUGUGUGUUUUAAUGAAAGUUUGAGUUUUAUCGAAAACUAUAGGUGGCGCUCUGAAAUUUCCACUGAUUGAUGUUCCUGCACUGGGAUUACAUUCUGCGUCAUCCCUAACAGAAAAGGUAAGGGCGUGAAUCAGAAAACCAAUCAGGAUCUGGUGUAACCGCCUCAUGCAGUGCGACACAUCUCCUUCACAUAGAGUUGAUCAGGCUGUUGAUUGUGGCCUGUGGAAUGUUGUCCCACUCAUCUUCAAUGGCUGUGCGAAGUUGCUGGAAAUUGUUGGGAACUGGAACAUGCCAUCAAUCCAGAGCAUCCCAAACAUGCUCAAUGGUGCGGCAGGUAGCCCAGUGGUUAGAGUGUUGGACUAGUAACCGAAAGGUUGCAAGAUCAAAUCCCAGAGCUGACAAAGUAAAAAUCUGUCAUUCUGCCCCUGCACAAGGCAGUUAACCCAGUGUUCCUAGGCUGUCAUUGAAAGUAAGAAUCUGUCCUUAACUGACAAUCCAUAGUUAAAUAAAGGUGGCAUUUUUUGUUGUUGAAAAAAUUGUGAUAUAUCUGGUGAGUAUGCAAAAAAUAUCCCAAUGCCCCAUUGCAGCGAUUGGGGACAUUGGCCUGUGUACGGUGUCGUCUUUUGAAUAGGAUGUUAAACGGGUGUCCUGACUCUGUGGUCACUAAAGAUACCAUUGCACUUAACCCCAGUGUUCUGGGGGUGUCCUCGGAUGGGGCCACAGUGUCUCCUGUCCCCUCCUGUCUCAGCCUCCAGUAUUUGUGCUCCAGUAGUUUGUGUCGGGGGGCUAGGGUCAGUUUGUUAUAUCUGGAGUACUUCUCCUGUCCUAUUCGGUGUCCUGUGUGAAUCUAAGUGUGCGUUCUCUAAUUCUCUCCUUCUUUCUUUCUCUCUCUCAGAGGACCUGAGCCCUAGGACCAUGCCCCAGGACUACCUGACAUGAUGACUCCUUGCUGUCCCCAGUCCACCUGGCCAUGCUGCUGCUCCAGUUUCAACUGACCUGAGCCCUAGGACCAUGCCCCAGGACUACCUGACAUGAUGACUCCUUGCUGUCCCCGGUCCACCUGACUGUGCUGCUGCUCCAGUUUAAACUGUUCUGCCUUGUUAUUAUUCGACCAUGCUGGUCAUUUAUGAACAUUUGAACAUCUUGGCCAUGUUCUGUUAUAAUCUCCACCCGGCACAGCAAGAAGAGGACGGGCCACCCCACAUAUGCUCUCUCUAAUUCUCUCUUUCUUUCUCUCUCUCGGAGGACCUGAGCCCUAGGACCGUGCCCCAGGACUACCUGACAUGAUGACUCCUUGCUGUCCCCGGUCCACCUGACUGUGCUGCUGCUCCAGUUUAAACUGUUCUGCCUUGUUAUUAUUCGACCAUGCUGGUCAUUUAUGAACAUUUGAACAUCUUGGCCAUGUUCUGUUAUAAUCUCCACCCGGCACAGCCAGAAGAGGACUGGCCACCCCACAUAGCCUGGUUCCUCUCUAGGUUUCUUCCUAGGUUUUGGCCUUUCUAGGGAGUUUUUCCUAGCCACCGUGCUUCUGCACCUUCAUUGCUUGCUAUUUGGGGUUUUAGGCUGGGUUUCUGUACAGCACUUUGAGAUAUCAGCUGAUGUACGAAGGGCUAUAUAAAUAAAUUUGAUUUGAUUUGAUUUGAUUCUGGCUAAAUUCCCAAUCUGGCCCGCAUACCAUCAUGGUCACAGUUUACAAUUGGCUAAUUCAUCCCCCCUCCUCUCCCCGGUAUCAAUUCCACAGGUCGUUUCUGUAAAUGAGAAUGUGUUCUCAGUCAUCUUCCCGGGUUAAAUAAAAUACAAAUUUUCCAUAAAUUAUAUCAGGCAUAAGAUGGAAUUCAAUCGAAACGGCAUUGUAGGUAAAUCUUCACUGUCUGGGGAUAAAUAACGUAAAGAUGUAUGAGACAAGGUCUUUCGAACAGUCUGACAACUGAGAUCAAACAGUCUGACAACUGACAACUGACAACUGAGGUCUAACAGUCUGACAACUGACAACUGAGGUCUAACAGUCUGGCAACUGACAACUGACAACUGAGGUCUAACAGUCUGACAACUGACAACUGAGGUCUAACAGUCUGGCAACUGACAACUGAGGUCUAACAGUCUGGCAACUGACAACUGAGGUCUAACAGUCUGACAACUGACAACUGAGGUCUAACAGUCUGACAACUGACAACUGAGGUCUAACAGUCUGACAACUGACAACUGAGGUCUAACAGUCUGGCAACUGACAACUGAGGUCUAACAGUCUGGCAACUGACAACUGAGGUCUAACAGUCUGACAACUGACAACUAACAGUCUGACAACUGACAACUGAGGUCGAACAGUCUGACAACUGACAACUGAGAUCUAACAGUCUGACAACUGACAACUGAGGUCUAACAGUCUGACAACUGACAACUAACAGUCUGACAACUGAAAACUGAGAUCUAACAGUCUGGCAACUGAGGUCUAACAGUCUGACAACUGAGGUCUAACAGUGACAACUGAAAACUGAGAUCUAACAGUCUGACAACUGAGGUCUAACAGUCUGACAACUGAAAACUGAGGUCUAACAGUCUGACAACUGAGGUCUAACAGUCUGACAACUGAAAACUGAGGUCUAACAGUCUGACAACUGACAACUGAGGUCUAACAGUGACAACUGACAACUGAGAUCUAACAGUCUGACAACUGACAACUGAAAACUGAGGUCUAACAGUCUGACAACUGACAACUGAGGUCUAACAGUCUGACAACUGACAACUGAGGUCUAACAGUCUGGCAACUGACAACUGAGAUCUAACAGUCUGACAACUGACAACUGAGGUCUAACAGUCUGACAACUGACAACUGAGAUCUAACAGUCUGACAACUGACAACUGAGGUCUAACAGUCUGACAACUGACAACUAACAGUCUGACAACUGAAAACUGAGAUCUGACAACUGAGGUCUAAUAGUGACAACUGACAACUGAUAUCUAACAGUCUGACAACUGAGGUCUAACAGUCUGACAACUGAGAUCUAACAGUCUGACAACUGACAAUUGAGAUCUAACAGUCUAACAACUGAGGUCUAACAGUCUGACAACUGAGGUCUAACAGUCUGACAACUGACAACUGAGGUCUAACAGUCUGACAACUGACAACUGACAACUGAGGUCUAACAGUUUGACAACUGACAACUGAGGUCUAACAGUCUGACAACUGACAACUGACAACUGAGGUCUAACAGUCUGACAUUUACAUUUACAUUUAAGUCAUUUAGCAGACGCUCUUAUCCAGAGCGACUUACAAUUCUAAAUUCCAUGCAUGACUUAUUCAAUUGGAAUUCAUCAGAUACUGUAUGUAAUAUAAAUCCAUCAAUGUUUUUCUUCUUCUUUUAUUAGGUAUGCACAGACCCCCAAAACUCAAAUGGAUUGAUUGCCUUUCAAUCUCAACACAGCUGGUGUUUCAUCUCUCUUGCCAUCUGACAUAGAGCACAGGGCCCACAGAACAUGUACACUGCCCAGUCAUCAAUUAAGCUGCCCGGGAUGUUGUAUCUCUCUCUCAUUGAUGUGCGCAUCAUCAUCAUAGUUGUUAGCAGCAGGGGGAGACAGAAGCAUUCACCAUACCUCUCAGCCAUCUGACAGGCUAGGCACAUUGAACAGAAGGUACCACACAAACAGACUCUCCUAUCAAUGCAACAGUCCAGAAUCCUUGAGUUCCACUUUGCCGGAGUAUUGGGUUGACUCAUUACUGCUCUAUCACAUACUCCAUAUCCAGAUUUGCAGGCUUUUUUUUCUCCAUUUGAAAUCACUCCAUUUGACAACCUCAUCCAGCGAAGUUGAUAGGCAACGCCAGUGUCAGUGAGCUGUUAUUAGAACGGUCACAACGGUGACAGCUGACAACUGAGGUCUAACAGUCUGGCAACUGACAACUGAGAUCUAACAGUCGGACAACUGAGGUCUAACAGUCUGACAACUGAGGUCUAACAGUCUGACAACUGACAACUGAGAUCUAACAGUCUGACAACUGAGGUCUAACAGUCUGACAACUGACAACUGACAACUGAGGUCUAACAGUUUGACAACUGACAACUGAGGUCUAACAGUCUGACAACUGACAACUGAGGUCUAACAGUCUGACAGCUGACAACUGAGGUCUAACAGUCUGGCAACUGACAACUGAGAUCUAACAGUCGGACAACUGAGGUCUAACAGUCUGACAACUGAGGUCUAACAGUCUGACAACUGACAACUGAGAUCUAACAGUCUGACAACUGAGGUCUAACAGUCUGACAACUGAGAUCUAACAGUCUGACAACUGAGGUCUAACAGUCUGACAACUGAGAUCUAACAGUCUGACAACUGAGAUCUAACAGCCUGACGUCUGACAACUGAGGUCUAACAGUCUGACAACUGACAACUGAGAUCUAACAGUCUGACAACUGAGGUCUAACAGCCUGACGUCUGACAACUGAGGUCUAACAGUCUGACAACUGACAACUGAGAUCUAACAGUCUGACAACUGAGGUCUAACAGUCUGACAACUGACAACUGAGAUCUAACAGUCUGACAACUGAGGUCUAACAGUCUGACAACUGACAACUGAGAUCUAACAGUCUGACAACUGACAAUUGAGAUCUAACAGUCUGACAACUGAGAUCUAACAGUCUGACAACUGAGGUCUAACAGUCUGGCAACUGACAACUGAGGUCUAACAGUCUGACAACUGACAACUGAGGUCUAACAGUCUGACAACUGACAACUGAGGUCUAACAGUCUGACAACUGACAACUGAGGUCUAACAGUCUGGCAACUGACAACUGAGGUCUAACAGUCUGGCAACUGACAACUGAGGUCUAACAGUCUGACAACUGACAACUGAGGUCUAACAGUCUGACAACUGACAACUGAGGUCUAACAGUCUGACAACUGACAACUGAGGUCUAACAGUCUGGCAACUGACAACUGAGGUCUAACAGUCUGGCAACUGACAACUGAGGUCUAACAGUCUGACAACUGACAACUAACAGUCUGACAACUGACAACUGAGGUCGAACAGUCUGACAACUGACAACUGAGAUCUAACAGUCUGACAACUGACAACUGAGGUCUAACAGUCUGACAACUGACAACUAACAGUCUGACAACUGAAAACUGAGAUCUAACAGUCUGACAACUGAGGUCUAACAGUCUGACAACUGACAACUGAGAUCUAACAGUCUGACAACUGAGGUCUAACAGUCUGACAACUGACAUCUAACAGUCUGACAACUGACAAUUGAGAUCUAACAGUCUGACAACUGAGAUCUAACAGUCUGACAACUGAGGUCUAACAGUCUGACAACUGACAACUGAGAUCUAACAGUCUGACAACUGAGGUCUAACAGUCUGACAACUGAGAUCUAACAGUCUGACAACUGAGGUCUAACAGUCUGACAACUGAGAUCUAACAGUCUGACAACUGAGAUCUAACAGUCUGACAACUGAGAUCUAACAGUCUGACAACUGAGGUCUAACAGUCUGACAACUGACAACUGAGAUCUAACAGUCUGACAACUGAGGUCUAACAGUCUGACAACUGACAACUGAGAUCUAACAGUCUGACAACUGAGGUCUAACAGUCUGACAACUGAGAUCUAACAGUCUGACAACUGAGGUCUAACAGUCUGACAACUGAGAUCUAACAGUCUGACAACUGAGAUCUAACAGUCUGACAACUGAGAUCUAACAGUCUGACAACUGAGGUCUAACAGUCUGACAACUGACAACCAAGGGACAAAAAACUAAAGCCAGUCUCAUCUUAAUAUUGGCCCUUGAGCCAAUCAGCAAACCACAGUGGUGUAACAUUACAGAGGUGACCCUUUAAGGCAUCCUAUUGGUGUAACAUUACAGAGGUGACCCUUUAAGGCAUCCUAUUGGUGUAACAUUACAGAGGUGACCCUUUAAGGCAUCCUAUUGGUGUAACAUUACAGAGGGGACCCUUUAAGGCAUCCUAUUGGUGUAACAUUACAGAGGUGACACUUUAAGGCAUCCUAUUGGUGUAACAUUACAGAGGGGACCCUUUAAGGCAUCCUAUUGGUGUAACAUUACAGAGGUGACCCUUUAAGGCAUCCUAUUGGUGUAACAUUACAGAGGUGACCCUUUAAGGCAUCCUAUUGGUGUAACAUUACAGAGGUGACCCUUUAAGGCAUCCUAUUGGUGUAACAUUACAGAGGUGACCCUUUAAGGCAUCCUAUUGGUGUAACAUUACAGAGGUGACACUUUAAGGCAUCCUAUUGGUGUAACAUUACAGAGGUGACCCUUUAAGGCAUCCUAUUGGUGUAACAUUACAGAGGUGACACUUUAAGGCAUCCUAUUGGUGUAACAUUACAGAGGUGACCCUUUAAGGCAUCCUAUUGGUGUAACAUUACAGAGGUGACCCUUUAAGGCAUCCUAUUGGUGUAACAUUACAGAGGUGACCCUUUAAGGCAUCCUAUUGGUGUAACAUUACAGAGGUGACCCUUUAAGGCAUCCUAUUGGUGUAACAUUACAGAGGUGACCCUUUAAGGCAUCCUAUUGGUGUAACAUUACAGAGGUGACCCUUUAAGGCAUCCUAUUGGUGUAACAUUACAGAGGGGACCCUUUAAGGCAUCCUAUUGGUGUAACAUUACAGAGGUGACCCUUUAAGGCAUCCUAUUGGUGUAACAUUACAGAGGUGACACUUUAAGGCAUCCUAUUGGUGUAACAUUACAGAGGUGACCCUUUAAGGCAUCCUAUUGGUGUAACAUUACAGAGGGGACCCUUUAAGGCAUCCUAUUGGUGUAACAUUACAGAGGUGACCCUUUAAGGCAUCCUAUUGGUGUAACAUUACAGAGGUGACCCUUUAAGGCAUCCUAUUGGUGUAACAUUACAGAGGUGACCCUUUAAGGCAUCCUAUUGGUGUAACAUUACAGAGGGGACCCUUUAAGGCAUCCUAUUGGUGUAACAUUACAGAGGUGACACUUUAAGGCAUCCUAUUGGUGUAACAUUACAGAGGGGACCCUUUAAGGCAUCCUAUUGGUGUAACAUUACAGAGGUGACCCUUUAAGGCAUCCUAUUGGUGUAACAUUACAGAGGUGACCCUUUAAGGCAUCCUAUUGGUGUAACAUUACAGAGUUGACACUUUAAGGCAUCCUAUUGGUGUAACAUUACAGAGGGGACCCUUUAAGGCAUCCUAUUGGUGUAACAUUACAGAGGGGACCCUUUAAGGCAUCCUAUUGGUGUAACAUUACAGAGGGGACCCUUUAAGGCAUCCUAUUGGUGUAACAUUACAGAGGUGACCCUUUAAGGCAUCCUAUUGGUGUAACAUUACAGAGGUGACCCUUUAAGGCAUCCUAUUGGUGUAACAUUACAGAGGGGACCCUUUAAGGCAUCCUAUUGGUGUAACAUUACAGAGGGGACCCUUUAAGGCAUCCUAUUGGUGUAACAUUACAGAGGUGACCCUUUAAGGCAUCCUAUUGGUGUAACAUUACAGAGGUGACCCUUUAAGGCAUCCUAUUGGUGUAACAUUACAGAGGUGACCCUUUAAGGCAUCCUAUUGGUGUAACAUUACAGAGGUGACCCUUUAAGGCAUCCUAUUGGUGUAACAUUACAGAGGUGACACUUUAAGGCAUCCUAUUUCCUGGAUCUCAAUAGAACCAAUGUAGUCCUCAUCACUGUGUGGGACAUCUACUACGUCAAACUUGAUCAAAUCAGUUUCAGCCUAAAUCUGAUUGGUGAUGAGUGCUAGAAGGUUAAUAAGCACGAGAACAUGGUCUAGCUCUGGCGUCAACGUCUAGCUAGCUACGACGGUGCGGGACAGUACUAUCAACAAGGAUCAGUGGGAUAACGACUAGAAUAAUAAUAAAAACAGCAUACAAUGAAGAGGCCCGGGGUCAGGCUUCUCUUCACCUUGGGAAAAGUCCAGAUAAAAGCCCAGCUAGGGAUUAUGUAGCUAUGUAGAGGUUAAGUCCCUUGCUCAAGGGCACAACAGCAGUAAUUCCUAAGUUAAUAUCAGAUAAAUCAUUUACUAUAGUAUUUACUCUAUUCAACAAAAGCGUGCCAUGAUGAUCAGACUGCUCUCGUACACGUUUGUUUAACCUUCCUGGAAUACACUCUUGCUAAGAGAAGCUAAGAGCAACUGUUAAAUGACUAAAAUGUCAAUAUAAAGUCAAAAAGCUC